GAAAUCAACAAAUCAUCGACAUUCUGGUACCUCUUAAAAAACCAGUGCAAAACCUUCAUGCGGCGGCUCGUAACGGUGAUGUAGCAAGAAUAAAAGAAUUACUGGCAAACGGAUUGGACGUUAAUGUCUUAGAUGCUGAUGAACGUACGACUUUAUUUGUUGCGGCUGCAAAUGGUCAAAGUGAUGCAGUUAAAGUCUUGCUCGAGAAUGGUGCCGACAUAAAUAAGAAAAAUAAGAACGGACAUGCCCC